rnacentral:tRNA from 1 species
AAGAAAGUGGCAGAGUGGUUAUGCAGCUGGCUUGAAACUAGUUCAUGGGGGUUCAAUUCCUUCCUUUCUCG